rnacentral:rRNA from 1 species
GUGGGGAAUCUUGCGCAAUGGGCGAAAGCCUGACGCAGCCAUGCCGCGUGAAUGAUGAAGGUCUUAGGAUUGUAAAAUUCUUUCACCGGGGACGAUAAUGACGGUACCCGGAGAAGAAGCCCCGGCUAACUUCGUGCCAGCAGCCGCGGUAAUACGAAGGGGGCUAGCGUUGCUCGGAAUUACUUGGCGUAAAGGGCGCGUAGGCGGACAGUUUAGUCAGAGGUGAAAGCCCAGGGCUCAACCUUGGAAUUGCCUUUGAUACUGGCUGUCUUGAGUUUGGGAGAGGUGAGUGGAACUCCAAGUGUAGAGGUAAAAUUCGUAGAUAUUCGGAAGAACACCAGUGGCGAAGGCGACUCACUGGCCCAAUACUGACGCUGAGGCGCGAAAGCGUGGGGAGCAAACAGGAUUAGAAACCCGUGUAGUCC